rnacentral:rRNA from 1 species
UACGGAGGGUGCAAGCGUUGUUCGGAAUUAUUGGGCGUAAAGGGAAAGUAGGUGGUCUUGUUUGUCUAAGGUGAAAGCCCCGGGCUUAACCCGGGAAGUGCCUUAGAAACGGCAAGACUUGAGUCCUGGAGAGGGUAGCGGAAUUCCCGGUGUAGCGGUGAAAUGCGUAGAGAUCGGGAGGAACACCAGAGGCGAAAGCGGCUACCUGGACAGGCACUGACACUCAACUUCGAAAGCGUGGGGAGCAAACAGG